CUGUCAACCUCAGAAUGGCUGCUUUUAAGUUGUCUAAAAAAUAUGUUGCAACCGCUGCUGUUCAUGCUUUACGUAGAGGUUUAUUAAUAAAUCCAGAUUUCCCAAUUCUUAAAAGUAGCCCUUUAGUUUUUGGAUAGUGCCAAGAGACAGAAAUCUGGAAGAGCUUUGGAGGCCUGGCCAGAAUCUCCCAGGACCCCACUGUUUCGUUCCUUGCCCACAGCCUGCUGUUAAUUUCACCAGAAGCACAAUCCAGCUUCUGCCAUGUUCGGGAGUGUCUGAGAAGCAGUAGCAACUGCUGAGGUCUUCCUCAGUAGGCGGGGUUCUAGUCUUCACCAGGAGGACACAGAGCAACAGGAGCGCCAAGUGUGCUGGUGCACAUGCGCAAUCUCAGAAUUCAGACGGUCACGGCAGAAGGACUGCAGGGUUUCUGACCUUGCUGGGCUACACAACAGGACUAUGUCUCAAAGGCCUAUAUAAAAAUCCAAAUGAACCACGAGAAUUACAUAUGACCUCAUGGGAAACUUCAAAGGGGUUCACCAGAGGACUCCGCGAAAGCUCUUGGUUCUGUGUGGCGGAUGAUUGU